rfam:Asian citrus Psyllid, Diaphorina citri - Florida Strain, whole genome shotgun sequence.
UAGCUUGGUUGGUAGAUCGUCUGCCUUGUAAGCGGUAGGCCGCGGGUUCGAUUCCCGC